GUUUCAUUUAUAAUUUACAUAUAAGCAAUAUAGGACUUCAAACUUGGGAUGUAUUCACUAAACCAGGAAUUGUGGGCUACUGACCAUGAAACUGCAAGUGUUAGGCCUUAAUAAGCAAAGAUGGAAAAAUAGCUGAAGUUUAUUUUUAAAUUUUGCAAUCAUGAGCUAAAAAAGUGGAAUUCCCUUUCAUUUUCAGUUUAGAGAAAAAACAUUUGCUUGGAAUAUUCCAGAAACUUUCACUGUGCUUUCUGCAGAGCGACACACCAUAUAAAACUGGUUAAGACUAGCUACCAAUUCCAUUGCAGAGGCAUUUGG